CCACGGGCUUACGCCCGUGGCUACAUCCUGCCGUCGCGUUGCGACU
rnacentral:sRNA from 1 species